GCUGUUUUAGUUUAAGUUGAAAAAUUCUUGAUUUGUAAUUAAGGGAUGGAGGCAGUA
rnacentral:tRNA from 1 species